UACGUAGGGUGCAAGCGUUGUCCGGAAUUAUUGGGCGUAAAGAGCUCGUAGGCGGUCUGUCACGUCGGCUGUGAAAACCCGAGGCUCAACCUCGGGCCUGCAGUCGAUACGGGCAAACUAGAGUACUGCAGGGGAGACUGGAAUUCCUGGUGUAGCGGUGAAAUGCGCAGAUAUCAGGAGGAACACCGGUGGCGAAGGCGGGUCUCUGGGCAGUAACUGACGCUGGAGGAGCGAAAGCGUGGGGAGCGAACAGGA
rnacentral:rRNA from 1 species